rnacentral:lncRNA from 1 species
UUAAUAAAUGAGAAGCUAAUAGCGAUUUUUCAUUAGAGAAGUCGGAUUGACUUGAUUGUCGCAGCUCUAUUUAAGUGCUAGGUUUGUAAAUAUUAUUAUUCUGAGCAUAUAGGAUAUUGACUGUUUCAGUUCUGUUUAAAUGGUAGAUUUAUAAAUAUUAUUGUUCAAAGCAUAUAGGAUAUUUGAAAUCUUUAUUACUUUUCAUGCAUGAAGUAUUAGUA